rnacentral:lncRNA from 1 species
CGCGCUCGCCCCUGCGGAGGCGGCACGGCGGAGCGGGGGGGCAGGCGGGCCCCGGAGCAGUGUUGCGGCGCGGCGUCGGCGGGAGGACGGCUCCUGUGGCGGCAGGCUCGGCCGAGAGUGCUGGGUAGUCCACCGAAGGGGGACAUCUUGAAGAGAAGCAGCUAGACCUAGCGGUCCAGUUGUUGAUUUUGGUCGUCACCUGUGAGGCCAGCAUCCGAGCGUAACAGGAAUCUAGGAGYUGUAUCAAAAAGAGAUGGAACCAAUAGUAGCAAAUGCUGACAAAGAGAAAAGCUGGACAAGCAGGUUUUUGGUGAUUAAUACCGAAGGGACGGGAUGAAACAAGGAAGCAAAAAUGCAGUUUAGUGGACCCUUGAUAUCACCAGAUACUGCUGCAGCAGGAGGUGUUCUGGCAUGGGUAACUAAGAUUGAUUGCCAUGGCUGAAGUUGAAGAGACCAGAAAAACGUAAGCAAGCUGAAGUAAUGAAAUCAAAUGGAAC